rnacentral:rRNA from 1 species
UACAGAGGGUGCGAGCGUUAAUCGGAAUUACUGGGCGUAAAGCGCGCGUAGGCGGUUUUGUAAGUCGGGUGUGAAAUCCCCAAGCUUAACUUGGGAACUGCAUUCGAGACUGCGUAGCUAGAGUAUGGGAGAGGGAAGUGGAAUUUCAGGUGUAGCGGUGAAAUGCGUAGAUAUCUGAAGGAACAUCAGUGGCGAAAGCGACUUCCUGGACCAAUACUGACGCUCAUGUGCGAAAGCGUGGGGAGCAAACAGG